GCCGGGCGUGGUGACUCACGCCUGUAAUCCCAGCACUUUGGGAGGCCGGGGUGGGCGGAUCACCUGAGGUCAGGAGUUCAAGACCAGCCUGGCCAACAUGGUGAAACCCCGUCUCUA
rnacentral:SRP_RNA from 1 species